rnacentral:rRNA from 1 species
UACGUAGGGCGCAAGCGUUAUCCGGAAUUAUUGGGCGUAAAGAGCUCGUAGGCGGUUUGUCGCGUCUGCCGUGAAAGUCCGGGGCUCAACUCCGGAUCUGCGGUGGGUACGGGCAGACUAGAGUGCAGUAGGGGAGACUGGAAUUCCUGGUGUAGCGGUGAAAUGCGCAGAUAUCAUGAGGAACACCGAUGGCGAAGGCAGGUCUCUGGGCUGUAACUGACGCUGAGGAGCGAAAGCAUGGGGAGCGAACAGG